AUUGAACGCUGGCGGCAGGCCUAACACAUGCAAGUCGAACGAGUGGCGGACGGGUGAGUAAUGUCUGGGAAACUACCUGAUGGAGGGGGAUAACUACUGGAAACGGUAGCUAAUACCGCAUACCAUCAGAUGUGCCCAGAUGGGAUUAGCUAGUUGGUGGGGUAACGGCUCACCAAGGCGACGAUCCCUAGCUGGUCUGAGAGGAUGACCAAGCAACACGGGACCUGGACACGGCCCGGACUCCACGGGGGGGCGCAAGUGGGAAAUUUUGCAAAAUGGGGGAAAGCCUAAGGAACCCAUGCCGGGUGUAGGAAGAAGGCCUUCGGUUUGUAAAGUACUUCCAGCGGGGAGGCGUUACCCGCAGAGGAAGAACCGGCUAACCCCUUGCCAGCGGCCGCGGUAAUAC
rnacentral:rRNA from 1 species